AUUUAAAUGUACUGAUUAGUCAGCAUCCUUGUAAUUGGUUCAUAGGUCACUGAAAACAGUGUCUCAUGGAGUACGAUUUUAUACGAGAAAUAUACUCUGAUUUUUUAGCACUGAACAAAUUUUAACAUGAUACAUUUUCAUUUUUCUGUGGACACUUUAUUCACAUAAUAGGACAUGAAAUGAGGCAUGUCGGUAUUUGCAAUUAGAAAGUGGUAAUCCAAAAUUGAUCAUGCAUUCGAAGACUGAAAUCCAUUUGGAUAAGUGAAUUCCACUUGCACACUGGUACCUGCUUUAUUUGAGAAGGAUAAUUAGUUGUCUAUGCCCGCGUCUAGAAUGAAGAGAAGGUAAUUAAUUAAAGUAGGACUACUUUGAGGCAUAAGCUUGAUUGUUAUGGGCACUAAGGAAAGAGGGGAGAACUGUUUGUUGAGGAAGUGUUACAAGCUUCUAUUUGAAUCUAGUCCAUCUGCUAUAAUCAAAGUUGAUGCUCAACAGAAAAAAGAAACAAUUGGCUAUUAUGAGCAAAUAGGCUUAGCUUGAUUUUUGCUUGUAGGGAAAUAUUAGAUGGGGUUUAUGGGUUGCUACCCCAAACUGGCAUCCCGAGGAACAAAACCAAAAAGAGGGAAAAAAAACG
rnacentral:misc_RNA from 1 species